GACGAACGCUGGCGGCGUGCCUAAUACAUGCAAGUCGAACGCACAGUUUAUACCGUAGCUUGCUACACCAUAAACUGUGAGUUGCGAACGGGUGAGUAACGCGUAGGUAACCUGCCUGGUAGCGGGGGAUAACUAUUGGAAACGAUAGCUAAUACCGCAUAAUAUUGAUUAUUGCAUGAUAAUUGAUUGAAAGAUGCUAUUGCAUCACUACCAGAUGGACCUGCGUUGUAUUAGCUAGUAGGUGAGGUAACGGCUCACCUAGGCGACGAUACAUAGCCGACCUGAGAGGGUGAUCGGCCACACUGGGACUGAGACACGGCCCAGACUUCUACGGGAGGCAGCAGUAGGGAAUCUUCGGCAAUGGACGAAAGUCUGACCGAGCAACGCCGCGUGAGUGAAGAAGGUUUUCGGAUCGUAAAGCUCUGUUGUAAGAGAAGAACGGGUGUGAGAGUGGAAAGUUCACACUGUGACGGUAGCUUACCAGAAAGGGACGGCUAACUACGUG
rnacentral:rRNA from 1 species